AUGUUUGGAAAUGGUUUGGGAGAAUACAUGAAAUGCUUGUCCCAUCUCAGGGAGGCCGCAGGAAGAGAUGCACAGCCCAGGGGUAAAUUCUGCAAGGCACCAUCUCUGAUCUCCUGUGGGACCUCGGGGGCUCACUCUCUGCCUCAGACACAGACUCUGGACAAGGCCCACGGUGAGAGAGUUGGGCAGAGCUUGGGCCAUUUCCGCUGCUGUGGACACCAUCCUGGGAAGGACUACAUUUUAGUGACAGCACAGCGGAGUAAGGUGAGCAAGAUGCUGGUGACAGACCCAGCACUUGUGUGGUCUCGGGGAUUACUCAGUCUCUUCAAGCCUCAGUUUCCCUGUCAAAUAUUGAAGAUAAGAACCAUGACUCAAAGUUGAUUGGGUGACAUAGAAAAACAUCCAGUAUGAUGUUGCACAUAGUAGGUGUAAUGGGUUUGUUACCGGAAAGGGGCCCUGAUCCAGACCCCAAGAGUGGAUUCUUGGAUUUCAUGCAAGAAAGACUUGGGGGCAAGCCUAUAAAGUGAAAGCUAGUUUGUAAGGAAAAUAAAGAAGCAAAAGGCACAGCUACUCUGUAGGCAGGGCAGUGUCAUGGGCUCCUCAGUGGAGAAUGCUUAUGGUUGUUUCUUGAUCGUUUGUUGAAAAAGGAGUGAAGGAGGGAGGAAGUGAGGAAGCAGGCAGGGCUGAGAAGUCUCGAGCCCCACCUAAGAUACCUGAGGCAGCUCCCGCACCUCCUGCCAGGGAAAGAGGUCCGGGCCCUGGGUACACGGUGUGGUGAUGGCAGCCUGGGCUUGGGCCAGCUCCAGCAUUUGCCUCCCCUCCCCAGCCUUCCUCCCUGGGGAGUCCCAACUUCACUGCAGCCUUCUAUCCUUCCUGCCCUCCUGAUGAAGUCAGGAGGAGCACGAUGGGCAGAAAAUCCCCUCUGCAGGGAUUCUGAAUUUUCUCCUGAAGGCAAUGGUAUGCUGGUGAAGAACACUAAGCGGGAGGUGGUAUUAGCAGAUUCGCCUCUAUAAAAAUCAUCAGAGGCUUACGAG
rnacentral:lncRNA from 1 species